rnacentral:rRNA from 1 species
GACGAACGCGGCGGCGUGCUUAACACAUGCAAGUCGAACGAAGAGCGAUGGAAGCUUGCUUCUAUCAAUCUUAGUGGCGAACGGGUGAGUAACGCGUAAUCAACCUGCCCUUCAGAGGGGGACAACAGUUGGAAACGACUGCUAAUACCGCAUACGAUCUAAUCUCGGCAUCGAGGAUAGAUGAAAGGUGGCCUCUACAUGUAAGCUAUCACUGAAGGAGGGGAUUGCGUCUGAUUAGCUAGUUGGAGGGGUAACGGCCCACCAAGGCGAUGAUCAGUAGCCGGUCUGAGAGGAUGAACGGCCACAUUGGGACUGAGACACGGCCCAGACUCCUACGGGAGGCAGCAGUGGGGAAUCUUCCGCAAUGGACGAAAGUCUGACGGAGCAACGCCGCGUGAGUGAUGACGGCCUUCGGGUUGUAAAGCUCUGUUAAUCGGGACGAAAGGCCUUCUUGCGAAUAGUGAGAAGGAUUGACG